rnacentral:rRNA from 1 species
UACGUAGGGGGCAAGCGUUGUCCGGAUUUAUUGGGCGUAAAGAGCUCGUAGGCGGUUCGGUAAGUCGGGUGUGAAAACUUUGGGCUUAACCCAAAGCGUGCACUCGAUACUGCCAUGACUAGAGUUCGGUAGGGGAGUGGGGAAUUCCUAGUGUAGCGGUGAAAUGCGCAGAUAUUAGGAGGAACACCGGUGGCGAAGGCGCCACUCUGGGCCGAAACUGACGCUGAGGAGCGAAAGCGUGGGUAGCAAACAGG